UUAUCUCGGGGUUGUGACUUGAAACAAGUUCUGGGAUUUACAUAUUAAUGAAUCGAAACAUGCAACCCAUUCUAAAGGAAUGUAUUUUUUAGUAGACUGUAGACUUGUUCAGUAUAUUGUGUCAGUUGCACGACACUGUGACGUUGUGCUAUAAAUUCUGUGUCCUGUGUAUCCUGCCCCACCAGCUCCCUAACAAAGGAGCAAGGCUCUGAAAGUUUCUCUUUCCAGAUAAACCUGUUGGACUAUAACCCGGUGUUGUGUGAUUUUUUUUUAAUUUAACCUGGUCAACAAAGAAUAACGAGUAUAUUGUAACUGAAACUCAGACAGACGCGCAUCUGCAGUCCUCACUUUCUCCCAGUGAAACAAUUCCCCCCACAGGGAAUCCAGAAAGACCCUGGAUUUUUUUAGCUGUUGGAAACUUGCCCCCCCCCUCUCCUGCCGCGUUUUGCUGUGAGCUCCCAAGCCUUGCUUGAACCCUGAAGGAGGGUUACACCUGAAACAUUGACUUCUCCACCUCAUGAUGUGUGUCUGACUUGCUGUGUUCUUCCAUACCGCCUGCCUGCAGACUCUGUGUUCCCCAAGCAGCCCUGAGUCAACUGAUCUAGGGCCAAAGUGGGGAGGAGGGAAGGAUUGUGAGCACAGAGCAGCCUAUUACACUGAAGGGAAACUGUCACCGCCCAUCCACACAGAGAGUACAGUACUUUCCACUUUGUUUACCAGCUUCCCAGCCGCCACUUUGUCCCAGGGAGAUUGAAGGGGUCGCCUGAAAAUAGGUUGAGUGGCCAAAAAACAAUUAUAAAAAUGGCAACGACCAUGGUGAAAUGGUUUCAGCAUCCCAUGGAAAGGUUUAUGGACAAAGUGGCGAUUGUGAGUGUGUCAACUUACCGGGACCGGUAUCUGGACGAGUUGGAAAGUAAAAGAGCAGCUGGGUUUGGCGUUAAAUCCCGAGGGAGCACUGAGACCCAGGAAAAUAAACCACAUUCCAGCACCAAGAAAGUGUUCAAAAAGACGUUGAACUGAAACACAGAAUCAUUCUGCAGUUUUCCAAGAUAUUGACAAAGUUUGAAAACCAACAGUUUUUUUGUAUAACAACAAGCUUCACCUUUUUGUUCUCAAUUCAUACCGACGUCACCUUUUGACUCAGCUAUUCCAGAGCUUUUCUAAUCAACCUCCCAUGUCACAAGGAGCCCUGAGGCUUAUUCCUGAGGCAAAAUAUAGUGAAAGUUGAAUCUCUAACCUAUUCCAGACAGAGAGAAAUAUGAGCUUGCAGAGCCCACACUUCUUGCUGGCUACUUGAAGAUUCAAAGAGAAAACCUUUAGGAUCAGGAGAUCUUUGAACAAGAGA